rnacentral:rRNA from 1 species
AGUGAACGCUGGCGGCGUGCUUAACACAUGCAAGUCGAACGAGUAAGUGUCUGUAGCAAUACAGAGGUAUUGCUAGUGGCAGACGGGUGAGUAAUACAUGGGAAUCUGCCUCGAAGUCUGGGCUAACUAAUGGAAACGGUAGCUAAUACCGGAUAUUGCCUAAGGGUGAAAGUUUUUCGCUUCGAGAUGAGCCCAUGCAAGAUUAGCUAGUUGGUAGGGUAAAAGCCUACCACGGCAAAGAUCUUUAGCUGGGCUUAGAGGAUGAUCAGCCACACUAGAACUGAGACACGGUCCAGACUCCUACGGGAGGCAUCAGUGGGGAAGAUUGGACAAUGGGCGAAAGCCUGAUCCAGCGACGCCGCGUGAGUGAUGAAGGCCUUCGGGUUGUAAAGCUCUUUCAGUAGGGAAGAUAAUGACGGUACCUACAGAAGAAGCUCCGGCUAACUUCGUGCCAGCCGCCGCCGUAA